rfam:TPA: Bos taurus chromosome 24, whole genome shotgun sequence.
UCCCUGGUGGUCCAGUGGCUAAGACUCCAUGCUCCCAGCGCAAGGAGCCCAGGUUCAAUCCCUGGUCAGGGAA